rnacentral:rRNA from 1 species
UCCGGUGCCCAUAAAUUGCUGGCUCCACCCGAUCCCAUUCCGAACUCGGUCGUUAAGAAGUAAUUGCCGAUGAUAGUGCUUUGCGCGAAAGUAGGUUAGUGCCGGAC